rnacentral:rRNA from 1 species
AAUCAACGCUGGCGGCGCGCCUAACACAUGCAAGUCGAACGGGAAAGGCGGGGCAACCCGCUGAGUAAAGUGGCGUACGGGUGAGUAACACGUGGGUAACCUGCCCUCCGGUGGGGGAUAACCCUGGGAAACCGGGGCUAAUACCGCAUAUGCCCGAGAGGGGAAAGCCGCAAGGCGCCGGAGGAGGGGCCCGCGGCCGAUCAGCUCGUUGGUAGGGUAACGGCCUACCAAGGCGAUGACCGGUAGCCGGCCUGAGAGGGCACACGGCCACACUGGCACUGAAACACGGGCCAGACUCCUACGGGAGGCAGCAUG